rnacentral:tRNA from 1 species
ACUGGUAGCUUAGUUGGUAGAGCAACAGACUCUUAAUCCGUAGGUCGUGGGUUCGACUCCCACCCAGUCC